rnacentral:lncRNA from 1 species
GGGGCAUAUUAUAGCUGUCUAUACUAUGUAUGUUUUGCACAUUGUAUAAUUCUUAUGUUUAACGUGAUAGUUAUAGUUAUCUCUAUUUUUAAAAAGGACUGUUUAACUACCUUUAUUUAUUUUUUUCCGUUUUUUUACUGUGCAGUUAUAACAACACUGAGAAGGCUGUGUUUGAUAUAAAAUGUAUCUUUCUAUCACUUUUAAUUUGUUCUGAAUA